ACAAUAAUCCAAGCAAGGAACAGCCCAAUUCCAUCACAUUCUUGGAGUAAUCCAUUAGUAUUUCCCUGCAUGGUCUUGGAAAUUCUUCUGGACUGGGAGGAUUAGGAGCCAUUGAAAAGCAAAAGGAGUCUCUCCAAUUUGCAGCUGGAACCGAAGGGCUAUACAAAUCAAAAUUGCUAUUAUGAACCACCUUCUUCAUGAUAUCUCGAGUGUAAUAUUGUUUCUUAACCUCUAUAUCUUGCUCAAAAAACUCACGUGUUCCUUGCAGCAUUCCUUCCAGAACAGAUGUUGGAAUGCCAUGA
rnacentral:misc_RNA from 1 species